AGCUCCAAUAGCGUAUAUUAAAGUUGUUGCAGUUAAAACGCUCGUAGUCGGAUUUCGGGGCGGGGCCGCCGGUCUGCCGAUAGGUAUGCAGUGCGCGUCCUUUUUCCCGGAGACGGCUGCUACUCUUAACUGAGCGGUGGUCGGAGACGGGAUGUUUACUUAAAAAAAUCAGAGUGUUUCAAGCAGGCAGUCGCUCUUGCAUGGAUUAGCAUGGGAUAAUGAAAUAGGACUCUGGUGACCAGUCUGGUGCUAUUUCGGUGGUUUCGAGCACCGGAGUAAUGAUUAACAGGGACAGUCAGGGGCACUCGUAUUCCGCCGAGAGAGGUGAAAUUCUUAGACCCAGCGGAAGACGAACCACUGCGAAAGCAUUUGCCAGGGACGUUUUCA
rnacentral:rRNA from 1 species